rnacentral:rRNA from 1 species
GAUGAACGCUAGCGGCAGGCCUAACACAUGCAAGUCGAGGGGCAGCACAGAAAUCCAGCAAUGAGUUUUGGUGGCGACCGGCAGACGGGUGCGUAACGCGUAUGCAACCUACCCGUCACAGGGGGAUAAUCCGGAGAAAUCUGGUCUAAUACCCCAUAACAUAUGGAUCGGCAUCGGUUCAUGUUGAAAUUUUCGGAGGUGACGGAUGGGCAUGCGUAGCAUUAGCUUGUUGGUGAGGUAACGGCUCACCAAGGCGACGAUGCUUAGGGGGACUGAGAGGUUUUCCCCCCACACUGGUACUGAGACACGGACCAGACUCCUACGGGAGGCAGCAGUGAGGAAUAUUGGUCAAUGGGCGCAAGCCUGAACCAGCCAUGCCGCGUGCAGGAUGACGGCUCUAUGAGUUGUAAACUGCUUUUGUACGAGGGUAAAGUGGGUUACGUGUAACCUUUUGAAAGUAUCGUACGAAUAAGGAUCGGCUAACUCCGUGCCAGCCGCCGCGGUAA